UACGAAGGGGGCUAGCGUUGCUCGGAAUUACUGGGCGUAAAGCGCACGUAGGCGGCUCUUUAAGUCAGGGGUGAAAUCCUGGAGCUCAACUCCAGAACUGCCUUUGAUACUGGCGACCUUGAGUCCGGGAGAGGUGAGUGGAACUGCGAGUGUAGAGGUGAAAUUCGUAGAUAUUCGCAAGAACACCAAUGGCGAAGGCAGCUCGCUGGGACGGUACUGACGCUGAGGCGCGAAAGCGUGGGGAGCAAACAGG
rnacentral:rRNA from 1 species